rnacentral:rRNA from 1 species
AUGAAAAAGGGAACGGCCAGCUUGGGCAAGCGCCAGAACAAGACCCACAUGUUGUGCACCCUUUGCGACUGCCGCAGCUUCCACCUGCAGAAGAUAACCUACUCCUUAUGUAGCUACCUUGUCGCCCGCAUCUGCAAGUGUAAGUCCCACUGCCAUAUCCCCUUCCACUAUCUUCACAUGCAAUUUCGGUCCUUCGACCUAGCUGGCCUGUUUAGAUGUGGUGCUUGGUUCUGGUAUGUGGUUCCUGUGCGACACCGUGAUUGCUUUGGUUUCGAUGUUGUGUUUGUAGCACCAUCGUUAUUGCGUUGA